rnacentral:snoRNA from 8 species
UGGCGGUGAGGAGAGAAUUGCUGUGUUGACUUACGGUGAUCGUCUUAUACGCUAUUCUGAGCCCGAG